ensembl:lncRNA
UUAGGAUUUAUCAAAUUAAUCAUGAACUUGCACAAUUUUCCUGAACACUGGAUAAAAUUUCAAACUAAAUUCUUGUUUGAUUUUGUUGAAAAAAAAAAAAUCCCCAUGUUUUUAGGAAUAUAAUGUAAAGGAAUAAAAACCAGGCGAAUGAUAUAUAAACAAACCCUUCUAUAAAAGCCUUCAGCAUAUAGAAAAGAAUAACACUCUAAGUUUUGGUGUAUGCAAGUGCUGCUGAAGUGGAGAAACAAACUCAUUUUGAGAAAACGGCCUUUAAAGAUUUAAAUGUAUUGUAAUAAACAUCUACAGACGCAAAUAGAUAAAGCACAAUAAUAAGACGCUCGAAUGAUAUGAACAAACCCCUCAGUAAAAACCUUCAUAAUGUAGAUAGGAAUAAAACUAUGUUUUGGUGUAUGUAAGUGAGAUAAAAAAUCAUUUUGAGAAAAUGGUAAUUGAAAGCUACAGACACGAAUAGAUAACAAGCAAUUCAAUAAAGAUUAAAAGUGUAUUUUAGAUGUUUUCUUUCCACCAAUCUGAAACAAGAAGUUACGUAAAGCCAAAUCUCAAAAUUGAGCAGUGCAUGAAAAACAAUGCUUAGGCCUGCAGUGCCUUGAAUCCACCUGACUGCACUACAUGAAUUCACUAUUAGUCUGUUUCAUUGCUUUAUAUCGUCUUUUAAUAUGCAUCCCUUUUUUCAGAACAUCUGUAAAUCUUCUUCCAUCUGAAGGCGACAUGAGUUUCACAUCAGCAGCCGGUGGAUGACGGGAGUCGUGGUCCUGAUGAUGAAAAAGCAUUUGAGGCAAGCUAAUACUUAAAUGAGGACCUCCACAUGCAAAAGAUCAACCUAUGGCGCUGUUGCAGACGUCCACCUCCCAGUAAUACUGUCCUCUGGACACGCCCACGCUGCCGCACACCUGAGGAAGCGGACAGGAGCCCUGAUCGCUGCGGUCAUGUGAUGAGAUCAUGUGACCCGUGA